rnacentral:rRNA from 1 species
GUCUACGGCCAUGCCACCCUGAACAAGCCGAAGCCCGUCUGAUCUCAGAAGCUAAGCAGGGUCGGGCCUGGUUAGUACUUGGAUGGGAGACCAGAUGCUGUAGGUG